rnacentral:rRNA from 1 species
CCUACGGGAGGCUGCAGUGGGGAAUAUUGCACAAUGGGCGAAACCCUGAUGCAGCACCGCCGCGUGAAGGAAGACGGUUUUCGGAUUGUAAACUUCUAUCAAUAGGGAAGAAAGAAAGCACGGUACCUAAAUAAGAAGCCCCGGCUAACUACGUGGCAGCAGCCUCGGUAAUACGUAGGGGGCAAGCGUUAUCCGGAAUUACUGGGUGUAAAGGGAGAGUAGGCGGCAAGGUAAGCUAUAUGUGAAAGCCUUAAGCUUAACUUAAAUAUGGCAUUACGAACUAUCUAGCUAGAGUACAGGUGAGGAAAGCGGAAUUCCUAGUGUAGCGGUGAAAUGCGUAGAUAUUAGGAAGAACACCAGUGGCGAAGGCGGCUUUCUGGACUGAAGCUGACGCUGAGGCUCGAAAGCGUGGGGAGCGAACAGGAUUAGAUACCCUUGUAGUC